ensembl:lncRNA
GAGGAGGAAGGAGGCAGAGCAGCUUGGCUGACUGCUGUUGAUUCACAGCUGAGCCCUGGCCUGGCUAUGGAUUUUCUUGCCAGAAGAGUUGAAAUCCGGAGUGUCUCAACCAUGUGGGAAGACCACUGUGAAGCCUGAUGGUGUGUGGUGAGCUUGGUCCAUCAUGAGCCAGGAUACCCAGCAGCAGUGUGCCUGCUGGUAUCUCUCUUCCCUCAUUAUGAUUUUCCAGGUUGAUUUGACCUGUUGUUCAGCCAUGAUUUCCCCUGGAGAAGCUUCCUACAGCCACCUUGCGGUAGGAGUCAUCCUGCUCUGCUUUGAUGCACAGUUCUCUGGUUUCCACUGAUAUCAAUGGCAUGGCAACUGUGUGAGCGUGGGGAGAAUUUGAUAUUACAAGGAAUAAUAAAUCACAAGUGUAUCACAUGUGCCCUGAUAUUCAAGGGCACUGAGUGAUAAGGGCCAAGGAGAUCCCUUGCUCAUGCUUUUUCUCUCCCUGUGUGGCUGAGAUCAGUAUUCUCCUUUCGAAGACCUCUAGGGGUCACAGUUGGAUUGUACAACAGGUUGUGAUCCCAUCCUUGGGAUAGGAAAUCAGAGCACACACUGCCCACUUCCUACCAAACCAAUGCCCAGAAAGCCAGCAGGAUGCCAAAUGCCCACAGCCCAUGGUCACUGCCUACAACCCCACCCAGAAGUGGGUUCCAACCCCUCCUCUGCCUCUUUCUGCCACUGAGAUACAGAUGAUUGUUGUAGGAUGUAGUUCAUAACUUCAACAAAGUAAAUCCAAAUAUGUUCCAGGCUGGAAUGGCAGAGAUGGACCUACCACAAAAGGCUCAUGCUGAAGAUUUCCACUUGUGCCCAAGCUUCUUGCUUAUGUCAGUAGUGGUGAUCCAUUAAGGUUGAUGCA